CGCUUCUUUUUCCACCGGAGCUUGCUCCACCGGAAAAAGAAGAGUGGCGAACGGGUGAGUAACACGUGGGUAACCUGCCCAUCAGAAGGGGAUAACACUUGGAAACAGGUGCUAAUACCGUAUAACAAUCAAAACCGCAUGGUUUUGAUUUGAAAGGCGCUUUCGGGUGUCGCUGAUGGAUGGACCCGCGGUGCAUUAGCUAGUUGGUGAGGUAACGGCUCACCAAGGCCACGAUGCAUAGCCGACCUGAGAGGGUGAUCGGCCACAUUGGGACUGAGACACGGCCCAAACUCCUACGGGAGGCAGCAGUAGGGAAUCUUCGGCAAUGGACGAAAGUCUGACCGAGCAACGCCGCGUGAGUGAAGAAGGUUUUCGGAUCGUAAAACUCUGUUGUUAGAGAAGAACAAGGAUGAGAGUAACUGUUCAUCCCUUGACGGUAUCUAACCAGAAAGCCACGGCUAACUACGUGCCAGCAGCCGCGGUAAUACGUAGGUGGCAAGCGUUGUCCGGAUUUAUUGGGCGUAAAGCGAGCGCAGGCGGUUUCUUAAGUCUGAUGUGAAAGCCCCCGGCUCAACCGGGGAGGGUCAUUGGNAAACUGGGAGACUUGAGUGCAGAA
rnacentral:rRNA from 1 species